rnacentral:rRNA from 1 species
CCUACGGGUGGCAGCAGUGAGGAAUAUUGGUCAAUGGACGAGAGUCUGAACCAGCCAAGUAGCGUGAAGGAUGACUGCCCUAUGGGUUGUAAACUUCUUUUAUAUGGGAAUAAAAUGUUCCACGUGUGGGAUUUUGUAUGUACCAUAUGAAUAAGGAUCGGCUAACUCCGUGCCAGCAGCCGCGGUAAUACGGAGGAUCCGAGCGUUAUCGGGAUUUAUUGGGUUUAAAGGGAGCGUAGGUGGAUUGUUAAGUCAGUUGUGAAAGUUUGUGGCUCAACCGUAAAAUUGCAGUUGAAACUGGCAGUCUUGAGUACAGUAGAGGUGGGCGGAAUUCGUGGUGUAGCGGUGAAAUGCUUAGAUAUCACGAAGAACUCCGAUUGCGAAGGCAGUUCACUGGACUGCAACUGACACUGAGGCUCGAAAGUGUGGGUAUCAAACAGGAUUAGAUACCCCAGUAGUC